GAUGAACGCUGGCGGUAUGCUUAACACAUGCAAGUCGAACGGACUCUUCGGAGUUAGUGGCGGACGGGUGAGUAACGCGUGAGAAUCUGGCUUUGGGUUCGGGACAACCACUGGAAACGGUUGCUAAUACCGGUUGUGCCGAGAGGUAAAAGAGAAAUUGCCUGAAGAUGAGCUCGCGUCUGAUUAGCUAGUUGGUGAGUUAAAGGCUCACCAAGGCAGCGAUCAGUUGCUGGUCUGAGUGGAUGACCAGCCACACUGGGAAUGAGACACGGCCCAGAAUACUACGGGAGGCAGCAGUGGGGAAUUUUACGAAAAGGGAGAAAGACUGACGGAGAAAUACCGCGUGAGGGAAGAAGGCUCUUGGGUUGUAAACAUCUAUUCUUAGGGAAGAACAAAAUGACGGUACCUAAGGAAUCAGCAUCGGCUAACUCCGUG
rnacentral:rRNA from 1 species